rnacentral:lncRNA from 10 species
AAGACUGUUAAUGUAAAGCACGAGGUACAUUGUAGGUAUAUGAGAAGUGUUUGUUCCAUCACCUCUUAUGUCUUCCUUUCUUCUGUCAAAGCACUUCCUAAACCAAAAAGGUCUACUCAGAUUUCUGGUGUUACUGUUUUUAUGGUUUUGUAUUGUUUUCAGCAAUGUGAGGAAAGUGGAAUGAACUUGGACUUUGAAGGCAAACUAACCUGGAAUCAAAUACUGGCUCUGCUGUUUGCAAGUGUGAUCUUUGGGUAUGCUUCCUAAUCUGUGAGCUUCAACUUCCUCCUCUGUAAACCAAGAUCAAAGACAAACAGGGAAACCUACUUGUCUGGUGCCCAUCCCCUUGGCAGAACACUCCUCUGAAGGAUGACAGUUUGGCUGUGCCAGGGCAGAGCUGCCGACACCAAAUGAGCCUUCAUAGCAACUAUCUGAUGAGGAACUCACUGGCCUACCUUUCCUUGACAGCUGGGGCCUGCCAGCCUUGAAGCAUGACUCCACAACGCCCCUACCCAAGGCCAUGGAGGUUGCUGCUGAUGAGCAAGCUGUUUUAUAUUUAAUCCAGGUUUCUGCUUGGAGAGGAAGAAGGUAGAGGAGCCAGCGAAGGUUUGUCUGAAUGAUACUUGCAGAAAAAACACUGGUAACAGUCACAAAACUUUGAAAAUUAAAGUGCCAGCGAGGUGGCUUUUGGUGGCCAGAUGAAAGCUGUUAACCCCAGCUUUUACAAAUGCUGGGCUUUGAGUAAGAGGAGAGUGUCUUUCUGGAAAAGUUUGAGACCUCUUACUAUUGUAGCAGCAAAAGCAUCCACGGCUAGUGUUUUCCAAGCUCACUGCUACUUGUUGCAGUCUAGCAGUGUUGUGUCUCCUGAAAUUCCUACCUUUCUUGAUGGAUGUAAAAGAAGUACCAAUUUAUUAAGCUCCUAGUAUGUGCCAGAUGCUCCAUAUAUGUUACUUUUGAUCUUCAGAACCACUCAGCAACUUACUGCUUCUCCUCACUCCCAAUUACAUAGAUGAUGAAAUUGAAGCAGAGUAGUUUGUCUAGGAUUACAGAGCUAGGAGGGACCAGAGUUGGGAUUCUCCCUCAGUUCUAAUACACAGUAUGCUACAUUUCCUGUCGAGUAGUAACAAAGCUUCUAAGAAAUCUGAGUUUUCAUUUGUUAAAACUGAAUUUUUAAGAAAUGUAGACAGGAGCACUAAGUACUCUAUAGUUUAACGUUAAUAAUGGUACAAGUAUAUAACCAGUUUCUCAUGCACUGGCAUAACAUACUUCAGAGGGUACACCAGGGCUGGAUGAAUAUCUGAACCCAAAAAUAUCUGAGACAGGUCUCAGUUAACUUAGAAAGUUUAUUUUUCCAAUUUUGAGGACAUGCACCCAUGACACAGCCUCAGGUGGUCCUGACGACAUGUGCCCAAGGUAGUUAGGGCAAAGCUUUUUUUUAUACACUUUAGAGAGACAGGAGAUAUCAAUCAAUAUAUGUAAGAUGUACAUUGGUUAUGUCCAGAAAGACAGGACAACUAAAGCAGGGAGGGGGCUUCCAGGUCUUAUGUAGGUGAGAGAUAAAUGGUUGCAUUCCUUUGAGUUUCUGACUAGCUUUUCCAAAGGAGGCAAUCAAAUAUGCAUUUAUCUCAGUGAGCAGAGGGGUGACUUUGAAUAGAAUGGGAGGCAGGUUUGCCCUAAACAGUUCCCAGCUUGACUUUUCCGUUUAGCUUAGUGAUGUUGGGGCCCUGAGAUUUAUUUUCCUUUCACACUUCUUCCAUUUUCUUUUUAAAAAUCUUUUGAAGAAAGCAUUUUAGAAGAAAAUGAGUCUCUGCUCUCAUGGCUAGGAUAGUUUAUUCCUACAGGGGUAGGUCCCAAGUUAUUAGGAAAGCUCAUUUUUAGCAGAUUGAGAAGUCUCAUGUCCUGUGAAGAGACAAUAGUAGGAGGAAGGGAGAAAAACAACAAACAAGAGAACAAUCCUAGAAAAUCUAUAUAGACCACAUUACUUUGAAGUCCAUACAUCAGUAGGUAGGUAUGAAAGUGGCUUAUGUACCUAAAUAGUUUGCUUUUAUUUUCUUCUGAAGUUUAAGUUGUCUAGAUUCAGUUUGCAGGACUUUAGAAAGUACAGCUUAGUUUUCAAUUAUUUCGAAUUAGGAAAAAUGGGGUGAGGGGAAGGAAA